UCCAAUUCUUUGUUCAAGACGCCAAGAACCUGGACACCUUUAACUGGUAACAUAUCUUAGUGAACCAGCCAGGAGGUAAGCCCAAAGUUUGGGAUUUAUUUUUCUCCUUUCCCCUUUCUUUUCUGCUCUAUACAAGUGAGUCUCUCUCUUUCUCUCUCUCUCUCUCUCUCUCUCUCUCUCUCUCUCUCUCUCUUUUCCUUUCCAACUUGGGACACUUGGUGGGCAGCGCCUAAACACAGAGGCAACUGCAGGCUUCUGGCCAGGGCCACUCUGAAGGACAAUUUUUUAUCUUUUCCAGUUGUGGUCCCUGAUCCCUACAUUUGGUGCAGCUCGGGCAAACUCACAUGAGUUUCAGCAAUGUGUUUGUCUGCAUACAGUUAAGCAGGGCCACUAGGGCCACUCAGGGAGAAAGAACUCAGAAGCCUGACAUGCCAGCAAAAAGGUAAAGAAAGCUUUUUAUGGUUUGGAUCUUCUGAGAACAUCAGAGAAAGACUGUCCUUGCCAUCCACACUACAGCAAAAUUUUG